rnacentral:rRNA from 1 species
UGGGGAAUCUUCCGCAAUGGGCGCAAGCCUGACGGAGCAACGCCGCGUGAAUGAAGAAGGCCUUCGGGUCGUAAAGUUUUGUCAUUAGGGACGAAUAAGCCUUGCGAAUAGUUAGGUGUAUGACGGUACCUAAGAAGGAAGCUCCGGCUAACUACGUGCCAGCAGCCGCGGUAAUACGUAGGGAGCGAGCGUUGUCCGGAAUUACUGGGCGUAAAGGGCGCGUAGGCGGGUAUUUAAGUCAGAUGUGAAAACUCCGGGCUCAACUUGGAGACUGCAUUUGAAACUGGAUGUCUUGAGGGCAGGAGAGGAAAGUGGAAUUCCUAGUGUAGCGGUGAAAUGCGUAGAUAUUAGGAGGAACACCAGUGGCGAAGGCGACUUUCUGGACUGUACCUGACGCUGAGGCGCGAAAGCGUGGGGAGCAAACG